rnacentral:rRNA from 1 species
GAUGAACGCUGGCGGCGUGCCUAAUACAUGCAAGUCGAGCGAACAGACGAGGAGCUUGCUCCUCUGAUGUUAGCGGCGGACGGGUGAGUAACACGUGGAUAACCUACCUAUAAGACUGGGAUAACUUCGGGAAACCGGAGCUAAUACCGGAUAAUAUAUUGAACCGCAUGGUUCAAAAGUGAAAGACGGUUUUGCUGUCACUUAUAGAUGGAUCCGCGCUGCAUUAGCUAGUUGGUAAGGUAACGGCUUACCAAGGCAACGAUGCGUAGCCGACCUGAGAGGGUGAUCGGCCACACUGGAACUGAGACACGGUCCAGACUCCUACGGGAGGCAGCAGUAGGGAAUCUUCCGCAAUGGGCGAAAGCCUGACGGAGCAACGCCGCGUGAGUGAUGAAGGUCUUCGGAUCGUAAAACUCUGUUAUUAGGGAAGAACAUAUGUGUAAGUAACUAUGCACGUCUUGACGGUACCUAAUCAGAAAGCCACGGCUAACUACGUG